rnacentral:tRNA from 1 species
GGCUGAGUAGCUCAGCGGCAGAGCGGAGCCCUCAUAAAGCUUAGGUCGUGGGUUCGACUCCCACCUCAGCCA